AUGAACGCUAGCUACAGGCUUAACACAUGCAAGUCGAGGGGCAGCAUGAACUUAGCUUGCUAAGUUUGAUGGCGACCGGCGCACGGGUGAGUAACACGUAUCCAACCUGCCGAUGACUCGGGGAUAGCCUUUCGAAAGAAAGAUUAAUACCCGAUGGCAUAGUUCUUCCGCAUGGUGGAACUAUUAAAGAAUUUCGGUCAUCGAUGGGGAUGCGUUCCAUUAGGUUGUUGGCGGGGUAACGGCCCACCAAGCCUUCGAUGGAUAGGGGUUCUGAGAGGAAGGUCCCCCACAUUGGAACUGAGACACGGUCCAAACUCCUACGGGAGGCAGCAGUGAGGAAUAUUGGUCAAUGGACGAGAGUCUGAACCAGCCAAGUAGCGUGAAGGAUGACUGCCCUAUGGGUUGUAAACUUCUUUUAUACGGGAAUAAAGUGAGGCACGCGUGCCUUUUUGUAUGUACCGUAUGAAUAAGGAUCGGCUAACUCCGUGCCAGCAGCCGCGGUAAUACGGAGGAUCCGAGCGUUAUCCGGAUUUAUUGGGUUUAAAGGGAGCGUAGGCGGACGCUUAAGUCAGUUGUGAAAGUUUGCGGCUCAACCGUAAAAUUGCAGUUGAUACUGGGUGUCUUGAGUACAGUAGAGGCAGGCGGAAUUCGUGGUGUAGCGGUGAAAUGCUUAGAUAUCACGAAGAACUCCGAUUGCGAAGGCAGCCUGCUGGACUGUAACUGACGCUGAUGCUCGAAAGUGUGGGUAUCAAACAGGAUUAGAUACCCUGGUAGUCCACACAGUAAACGAUGAAUACUCGCUGUUUGCGAUAUACAGUAAGCGGCCAAGCGAAAGCGUUAAGUAUUCCACCUGGGGAGUACGCCGGCAACGGUGAAACUCAAAGGAAUUGACGGGGGCCCGCACAAGCAGUGGAGUAUGUGGUUUAAUUCGAAGCAACGCGAAGAACCUUACCUGGUCUUGACAUCCCUAUGAAUAACGGGCAAUGCCGUUAGUACUUCGGUACAUAGGAGACAGGUGGUGCAUGGUUGUCGUCAGCUCGUGUCGUGAGAUGUUGGGUUAAGUCCCGCAACGAGCGCAACCCUUAUCGAUAGUUACCAUCAGGUGAUGCUGGGGACUCUGUCGAGACUGCCGUCGUAAGAUGUGAGGAAGGUGGGGAUGACGUCAAAUCAGCACGGCCCUUACGUCCGGGGCUACACACGUGUUACAAUGGGGGGUACAGAAGGCAGCUACACGGCGACGUGAUGCUAAUCCCGAAAGCCUCUCUCAGUUCGGAUUGGAGUCUGCAACCCGACUCCAUGAAGCUGGAUUCGCUAGUAAUCGCGCAUCAGCCACGGCGCGGUGAAUACGUUCCCGGGCCUUGUACACACCGCCCGUCAAGCCAUGAAAGCCGGGGGUACCUGAAGUGCGUAACCGCAAGGAGCGCCCUAGGGUAAAACUGGUGAUUGGGGCU
rnacentral:rRNA from 1 species